rfam:Salmo salar isolate Sally breed double haploid chromosome ssa11, whole genome shotgun sequence.
UGCAUUCACUACUGUAAGUCGCUCUGGAUAAGAGCGUCUGCUAAAUGACUUUUA